GCAGGCUGCAACCCGCCUGUAUGAAGUUGGAAUCGCUAGUAAUCGCGGAUCAGCAUGCCGCGGUGAAUACGUUCCCGGGCCUUGUACACACCGCCCGUCACACCAUGAGAGUCGGGAACACCCGAAGUCCGUAGCCUAACCGCAAGGGGGGCGCGGCCGAAGGUGGGUUCGAUAAUUGGGGUGAAGUCGUAACAAGGUAAC
rnacentral:rRNA from 1 species